UACGUAGGGUGCGAGCGUUAAUCGGAAUUACUGGGCGUAAAGCGGGCGCAGACGGUUACUUAAGCGGGAUGUGAAAUCCCCGGGCUCAACCCGGGAACUGCGUUCCGAACUGGGUGGCUAGAGUAUGUCAGAGGGGGGUAGAAUUCCACGUGUAGCAGUGAAAUGCGUAGAGAUGUGGAGGAAUACCGAUGGCGAAGGCAGCCCCCUGGGAUGAUACUGACGUUCAUGCCCGAAAGCGUGGGUAGCAAAC
rnacentral:rRNA from 1 species